rnacentral:rRNA from 1 species
CGGGUGAGUAACACGUGGAUAACCUACCUAUAAGACUGGGAUAACUUCGGGAAACCGGAGCUAAUACCGGAUAAUAUAUUGAACCGCAUGGUUCAAUAGUGAAAGACGGUUUUGCUGUCACUUAUAGAUGGAUCCGCGCUGCAUUAGCUAGUUGGUAAGGUAACGGCUUACCAAGGCAACGAUGCGUAGCCGACCUGAGAGGGUGAUCGGCCACACUGGAACUGAGACACGGUCCAGACUCCUACGGGAGGCAGCAGAC